rnacentral:tmRNA from 1 species
GGGGGCGUAAUGGUUUCGACGGGAUUGUAAAGGUUAGGCUAAGCAUAUCACAGGCUCGUCUGUGUAAUAACGGAAAAUUAAAAUUUAAAUGCAGAAAACAAAACUGUAUUAGCCGCUGCUUAAUUAGUCAUGUGGCUUGUCCUAGUAGACAGUCCUACGGGUUUACAUAGGGCAUUAGUUAGUAGGGGACGAAUUCAAACUCUUGCCUAGGGGAUUGAAUUUGUAUUAUUAGGCUAGUUCAGAUUAUAUUUGUUAAUUUUUUUAGUCUGAAUUAAAUUUUCAAAUUAACUAAAUAUGUAGAAAGGUUUAAAAUUUCUUUUUCGGACGCGGGUUCGACUCCCGCCGCUUCCACCA